GGGGUUGUGGCUCAGCGGUAGAGCACUCGCCUAGCAUGUGUGAGGCCCUGGGUUCGAUCCUCAGCACCACA
rnacentral:tRNA from 1 species